UACGGAGGGUGCAAGCGUUGUCCGGAAUCACUGGGCGUAAAGGGCGCGUAGGCGGCCCGGUAAGUAGGGGGUGAAAUCCUGCGGCUUAACCGCAGGGCUGCCUUCUAAACUGUCGGGCUCGAGCACGGUAGAGGCAGAUGGAAUUCCCGGUGCAGCGGUGGAAUGCGUAGAGAUCGGGAAGAACAUCAGUGGCGAAGGCGGUCUGCUGGGCCGUUGCUGACGCUGAGGCGCGACAGCGUGGGGAGCAAACAGG
rnacentral:rRNA from 1 species